GCCAAAUACAAAUAAAGGGGUUUAUGCACUAAAAACCAAAUGGUUAUGAAUUAAAAACUAAUUAAGGUUUAGGCAACAAUAGCCAACUCAUCUAUUGACAAUCUAUGAUUUAUUAAGCCUAAUGUUUGCAGUUUGGUUUUAAUUUCACUACCUUUCACUGCUUAGUGAAUACACCCCAAAAGUGUUUAGUGGUAUUUCAUCUUAAAGGAACACUAUAGUGUCAGCAAUACAAAUAUGUAUUCCUGACACUAUAGUGGCAAACUAACUAUUUAGGUGCGAGGACCCCCAUCCCAUC